rnacentral:rRNA from 1 species
ACUCCUACGGGAGGCAGCAGUGGGGAAUUUUGGACAAUGGGCGAAAGCCUGAUCCAGCAAUGCCGCGUGAGUGAAGAAGGCCUUCGGGUUGUAAAGCUCUUUUGUCAGGGAAGAAACGGUGAGAGCUAAUAUCUUUUGCUAAUGACGGUACCUGAAGAAUAAGCACCGGCUAACUACGUGCCAGCAGCCGCGGUAAUACGUAGGGUGCAAGCGUUAAUCGGAAUUACUGGGCGUAAAGCGUGCGCAGGCGGUUUUGUAAGUCUGAUGUGAAAUCCCCGGGCUCAACCUGGGAAUUGCAUUGGAGACUGCAAGGCUAGAAUCUGGCAGAGGGGGGUAGAAUUCCACGUGUAGCAGUGAAAUGCGUAGAUAUGUGGAGGAACACCGAUGGCGAAGGCAGCCCCCUGGGUCAAGAUUGACGCUCAUGCACGAAAGCGUGGGGAGCAAACAGGAUUAGAUACCCGUGUAGUCCCAUGAU